rnacentral:rRNA from 1 species
UGGGGAAUUUUGGACAAUGGGGGCAACCCUGAUCCAGCCAUGCCGCGUGUCUGAAGAAGGCCUUCGGGUUGUAAAGGACUUUUGUUAGGGAAGAAAAAGGAGCGGUUAAUACCCGUUUCUGCUGACGGUACCUAAAGAAUAAGCACCGGCUAACUACGUGCCAGCAGCCGCGGUAAUACGUAGGGUGCGAGCGUUAAUCGGAAUUACUGGGCGUAAAGCGAGCGCAGACGGUUACUUAAGCAGGAUGUGAAAUCCCCGGGCUCAACCUGGGAACUGCGUUCUGAACUGGGUAGCUAGAGUAUGUCAGAGGGGGGGGUAGAAUUCCACGUGUAGCAGUGAAAUGCGUAGAGAUGUGGAGGAAUACCGAUGGCGAAGGCAGCCCCCUGGGAUAAUACUGACGUUCAUGCUCGAAAGCGUGGGUAGCAAACAGGAUUAGAUACCCUGGUAGUCCACGCCCUAAACGAUGUCGAUUAGCUGUUGGGCAGCUUGACUGCUUAGUAGCGUAGCUAACGCGUGAAAUCGACCGCCUGGGGAGUACGGUCGCAAGAUUA